rnacentral:rRNA from 1 species
UACAGAGGGUGCGAGCGUUGUCCGGAAUCACUGGGCGUAAAGGGCGCGUAGGCGGCGCGGUAAGCGUGCGGUGAAAGCCCGGGGCUCAACCCCGGGUCGGCCGUGCGGACUGCCGGGCUGGAGCACUGUAGAGGCAGGUGGAAUUCCGGGUGUAGCGGUGGAAUGCGUAGAGAUCCGGAAGAACACCGGUGGCGAAGGCGGCCUGCUGGGCUAUUACUAACACUCAGAGACGAAAGCUAGGGUAGCAAAUGGG